GCACAAGCGGUGAGUAUGUGGUUUAAUUCGAUGCAACGCGAAAAACCUUUACCUGCCCUUGACAUCCUCGGAACUUGUCAGAGACGACUUGGUGCCUUCGGGAACCGAGAGACAGGUGCUGCAUGGCUGUCGUCAGCUCGUGUCGUGAGAUGUUGGGUUAAGUCCCGUAACGAGCGCAACCCUUGUCGUAUGUUAUAUGUGUCAUACGAGACUGCCGGUAAAAGCCGGAGGAAGGUGAGGAUGAUGUCAAGUCAGCAUGACCUUUAUAUCCAGGGCUACACACACGCUACAAUGGUCUGUACAAUGGGUAGCCAAGCCGCGAGGCGGAGCCAAUCCUGAAAGCAGGCCUCAGUUCAGAUUGCAGUCUGCAACUCGACUGCAUGAAGCCGGAGUUGCUAGUAACCGCAGGUCAGCAAUACUGCGGUGAAUACGUUCCCGGGUCUU
rnacentral:rRNA from 1 species